GCGGGUUUAGCUCAGUCGGUUAGAGCGCCUGGUUGUGGUCCAGGAGGUCGUGGGUUCAAAUCCCAUAACCCGCC
rnacentral:tRNA from 1 species